rnacentral:rRNA from 1 species
CCUACGGGGCGCAGCAGUGAGGAAUAUUGGUCAAUGACCGGAAGGCUGAACCAGCCAAGCCGCGUGAAGGACGAAGGUGCCAAGCAUUGUAAACUUCUUUUGUCAAGGGACAAAAUCAGGCUCGAGAGCCUGACCGAGGGUACUUGAAGAAAAAGCAUCGGCUAACUCCGUGCCAGCAGCCGCGGUAAUACGGAGGAUGCGAGCGUUAUCCGGAUUUAUUGGGUUUAAAGGGUGCGUAGGCGGUUUGAUAAGUUAGAGGUGAAAUGUCGGGGCUCAACCCAGAAACUGCCUCUAAUACUGUUGGG